rnacentral:rRNA from 1 species
AUGAUGUGUUUUCUUGUUUCUUUUAGGAGGGAAAGCGGGAAGAGGGAGACGGUGUUGGUACCUACACAGCGGACGGGGAACACCGAACUGCCACCAGACGAUGGGUACACGUGGCGCAAGUACGGCCAAAAAGACAUUCUCGGCUCUAGGUAUCCAAGGAGCUACUACCGGUGCACUCAUAAGAACUACUACGGUUGUGACGCAAAGAAGAAGGUGCAACGCUUGGACGGCGACCCCUUCAUGUACGAGGUCACAUACUGUGGUGACCACAGCUGCCUCACUUCCACCACCCCGCUACUCACCCUGCCCACAGCUAGCACUACAAUCUCUGCUGCCAACUCUUCGACCGUCGCGACAGGCUCUGACCUCCCCACUAGAGACCUCCCCAUGGAACUAGUUGAGCAGACGCACCGCGCUGUCCACGCCAGUCAAGCUCGGCAUUAG